CAGUCGCCGCGGUAAUACGGAGGGUGCAAGCGUUAAUCGGAAUUACUGGGCGUAAAGCGUGCGUAGGCGGCUUUUUAAGUCGGAUGUGAAAUCCCUGAGCUUAACUUAGGAAUUGCAUUCGAUACUGGGAAGCUAGAGUAUGGGAGAGGAUGGUAGAAUUCCAGGUGUAGCGGUGAAAUGCGUAGAGAUCUGGAGGAAUACCGAUGGCGAAGGCAGCCAUCUGGCCUAAUACUGACGCUGAGGUACGAAAGCAUGGGGAGCAAACAGGAUUAGAUACCCGCGUAGUCCCUGUCUCUUAUAC
rnacentral:rRNA from 1 species